CACUAAAACCCCUUGUCAUGAAACACUGAAGCAGGUGACAUUUGAACUUUCCUUCCGCAGAAUUGUAUUUUAACUGAAAUUUCAGGGUUAGAAGAAAUUUGCCGAGGAUCCUAAACAGGUCAGCAAAGAUCGUAGGUUCUUUCCAGCUCCAAGAACUUCAGAAAAGUUUCUUAGGUGAUUGGAAUAACGUUCGCCGUUAAACUUCUCAAGAGAGCUUCCCACACUCAACUCUAGAGAUACUGGACUUAAGGAAAUGUCCCCAUGGAACGCUGAGCCUUUCAUCUCCUCUUUGCUCGUCUCACGGCUUUGUUAGACACGAAACCAUCUUCUGGAAAAUGUCUUCCCUGACACCUCUCCUAGUUUUCUGAGUUUGGGUUGCUUUCCUCCCAGCACUCACGGAGAUCCAGGAAAAGAAUCCCGGUGGGUUCUAACCUCAACCUGUAAAUCCACUAAGCAAGCUCCUACUGAACACCUAUGAUGCAAGCUCAAUCCAAGAGGCCAGCAGUCCGCAGGGGGAAGGCAACCAAAGCAAGAGGCACGUGAUUGCCUCGUGUUCAAGUUCCAAUAACCAGCCAGGCUUGUGUGUUGUAGUUUCAAAGUCAAUUCUAUUUUCAAAGCCUUAACACUGCUAUUCAGAGACUCUGGAGUGUGUGCAACCCAGUGGCCAGUGAAGACUGGAAAGUAGGCUGUCACUUAGUUCGAUUCUCAGACUCUUUUUAGGCACAAAAUUGCCUUGUAUUCAAGUUCCAAGUACCAAUCAGCCUUCCAUGUGUUGUUGUUUCAAAGAUAACUCUAUUUGCAAAGC